AACGAGGCCGACCUGCGGCUGAGUUACCUGCGGAGGGAUCAUUACAGAGUUGCAAAACUCCCUAAACCAUUGUGAACGUUACCUAAACCGUUGCUUCGGCGGGCGGCCCGGGUCCUUCCCGGCGCCCCUCGGCCCUCGCGGGCGCCCGCCGGAGGUAAACCAAACUAUUGCAUUGUAUGGCCUCUCUGAGUCUUCUGUACUGAAUAAGUCAAAACUUUUAACAAUGGAUCUCAGAUCGGA
rnacentral:misc_RNA from 1 species